UACGAAGGGGGGCUAGCGUUGCUCGGAUUGACUGGGCGUAAAGGGCGCGUAGGCGGUUCGUACAGUCAGACGUGAAAUUCCUGGGCUCAACCUGGGGGCUGCGUUUGAUACGUGCGGACUUGAGUGCGGAAGAGGGUCGUGGAAUUCCCAGUGUAGAGGUGAAAUUCGUAGAUAUUGGGGAAGAACACCGGUGGCGAAGGCGGCGACCUGGUCCGAUACUGACGCUGAGGCGCGAAAGCGUGGGGAGCAAACAGG
rnacentral:rRNA from 1 species